GGCGUAGGCGGGUCUUUAAGUCAGGGGUGAAAUCCUGGAGCUCAACUCCAGAACUGCCUUUGAUACUGAAGAUCUUGAGUUCGGGAGAGGUGAGUGGAACUGCGAGUGUAGAGGUGAAAUUCGUAGAUAUUCGCAAGAACACCAGUGGCGAAGGCGGCUCACUGGCCCGAUACUGACGCUGAGGCACGAAAGCGUGGGGAGCAAACA
rnacentral:rRNA from 1 species